AGAGAGGAAGCAGUGAUGUUUUCAAUAGACUAUGUUUCCAUCUCAACAACUCCAAACAAGGAAUCACAAGUUCAAAUUCCAGGAGAGUUGGGUCAGCCUUUCAUCUCUGGGAGCCAAGAGAGUUUUCACUGCACCAUAGAGGAAGGAUGAUCCUGAAGUAGAAAACAGCAGGGGCAUGAAGGACCAGGUGGAAAGGAGGUUCCUUUAUACCAUGACAUCUUCAAAUCCAGAGCAGUGGAAAGAAUCUGCAAUGUGGAGUGACCAAAGGGAUGGACAUCUGAGGUGAGAAUGCUGCUUUUUUUGACCUGUAAGCCGGGAGAUUGUGGGGCAUAAUUUGUUUGGCCUACCCACAGUUAUCCUCAAUAUCUUGAGGAUGGUGGAUCCCUCCCCACCAGCGGGCUUACCUUCUGAGCCUUGGGCAUGUCGGUGUGGCGCUGGGCACGGACUGA